GACAGGAGGAGGCUAAGAUGGCGGAAUGGCUACGCGAGGACGAGCAACGGCUGCGAGAGGUAGAGACCAGGAGAAGACGCCAGAGAAAGCCCAGAGGCAUUAUGGCCAGAGAAUCCUGUCACUUGGGAGGAAAACUUUAGUCUUUGACAUCAGAGACCAACAGACAGAACUAGAAGCAACAUGGAGAGGAUUCACCCUUUAUUAAUUAUGAGGACAGAACCCUUAGGGUUGAAGGAUGGGGCCUUGUAAAACAACUGAAGAAAUUCAAUGAAGCUUGAAAGAGGAUAAGCAAUUAAAUGUUUCACACUUUACAGGGUGCAGAUUAAAGAGUCUCAAGCCCUCUAAUCACAAAACAUACAAAUCUCCAAAUAAAAU